CUCAGUGUAGGGCAGUAGGGAAGGCUGGGGCAGAACAGUUGGAACUGAGACCUUCUGGGGCUGCUGUGGAAGGGCGUCUCAUACCCUGAGCAACCUCUCGGAGCCGGCUGGUUUGCUGCCAGGAGUCCAUGCCAGAGGAAAGGAAGUCGGCACCUCUCCCUGACCCCAGCCUUGAAGAUGAGAAUGGGCCCAUCCCAUGUUGCAGAAGAAAAAAAAGGGAAAGAUGUGGAGACAGCAAAGGUCAUUCAAGUGCACAGAUGUGGGAUGUUCAGCAUACUGGCCAAAAAGAAAUUCCAAACUCCAGAAAACGUAGCACCAGGAUGGAAUACAUAUAACCACAUCACUAGAAGAAUGACUGUGAGUCUUUAAGGCAGUGCCUAUGGAAAAGAAUAAAAGGCCCAACAGGCGCCGAGAUCUGGUCAGAAAAAAAUUGCUAGGAAGAGAAAAAUGGAUCACGAUCCUAGAAAGAGACCCUGAGCACGUAUGAAAGACCAUAUGGUAAUGAUCAAAGUUGAGGAAAAACAAAAAGCUGCCUUCCACC
ensembl:lncRNA